GAACACCCGGGCUUCAAGGGCCACCAGGAAUACCAGGGAACCCUGGACAACCAGGAGCCAAGGGUAAAACAGCUGACAUUGUUUUUAGAAAAUGGAGGGCUCUAAACUUUGAUAUUGUGAUGACUGUGUAACUUUCUUUUAGGUGAGGCAGGAGAACCAGGAAGAAUCAUCAAUGCAGGUAACCGGUUGACUAUUGCAUAACAGCGGCGAUGUGUUUACAGUAGCUAUACAUCUGUAUGACUGUCAGUGUGUACCUAAAACUGCUUGUGGUGAUUCCUCAGGGGGAUCUAGUUCUGUGGCCAUCCCCGGCCCCCCAGGAAGCCCCGGAGCACCCGGUCAAGCCGGACCCCCAGGGUUAUCAGGCCCCAUUGGCCCUGCUGGUCUUCCUGGCCAGUCUGGUAAGUCAGAUAACCUAUGGAUCUGUGGAUAGCUAAAGUAUUGGUCUUAUACAUGCUAUCUAUUUUCUGGCCAAGAGUCCUGUAUGUACUGUAUGUAUGCUUAUUUCCCCAGGUCCUAAAGGUGAGAGAGGGCUGAAGGGUGAGAUGGGUAUUCAGGGACUCCAGGGAGAGGCAGGUAUCUCAGUGAAAACCAGUGAAACCGUCAGCUCAUCCAGAGCUGAGAGACAGUUCAGUCUUCCUGCACAACCAGGUCCCCCUGGUCCCCCUGGACCCCCUGGAGCCCCUGGACGUGCAGGUGACUCAAGAUCAGGACUCCCAGGACCAGCUGGUCCCCCAGGAGAGCCAGGAUAUGGCAGACCUGGUCCUAGAGGAGAGAAAGGAGAGUCAGGAAGCUUUGUACCCAAUUCAGGAACAUUCUUCUCUGGACCCCCUGGACCUCCCGGGCCAUCUGGGCCAAAAGGAUCACCUGGUACACCAGGACCAAGAGGAAACCAAGGAGAUUCAGGCCAGCCUGGUCUACCAGGGAGCCCAGGAAGACCAGGAGUAGGCUCUGAAAGAGGUGAACUUAUCUUGGUCAAACUCAAGGCUAAACCAACAGCGAUUGAAAAAAAACAUGACCAACUCUGAUACAGGAGGUUAUUGACCCAGUAAUGAGAAUUUAUUGUGGCCCACCAUAGUCUACCACUGGUCUAGUGGUUCUCAAACCUCUCCUCUGGGACCCACAGACUAGCUCAUCUCUAAAUUAGCUCAACUAAUUCACCUAGUCAUGGGCUUGAUAAUAAGUGGACAAGUUGAAUCAGGGUGUGCUAGCUCUGGAAUAGAUCAAAUACAUGGAACGGCUGGGGGGCCCAGAGGAGAGGUUUGAUAACCACUGCUAUAGACCAUAGUCAAAACAUUGUUAACGGGCAGAAGUCUAGAAGUAUGUAUAGUAGGACAAAAUAUUUCUGAUUAAUUGCUUUGCUCUUUUGUUCCACACAGCAUCACCAUACGGUGGAACACAUGGGCCACCUGGGCCCCCAGGGACUCCAGGGAUUCCUGGACCAGAGGGACGGAAAGGUAAACUACCAAAACUUGGGAAUCUUAAUUAGAAACAAAUACACUUAGCUUCUGAAGGUUGUGGUGCCUGUAAAAGUAACAGGUCUAGACUCAGUCUUUGAAAUAACUAGUUGUCUUAUUCUCCACAUUUCCAAGGCGAACCUGGAAUUCCCGGUUCUCCUGGUCUUCCUGGCUCUGCAAGAGGUAAACACUCAUCUUUGACCUGCUGUCAAUAUUCCACCCACAACAUUAGAUACACUUAGAUCAUCAAGGUCUCCAAGGUGAACAGCCUCUGGCAUGUUAGAACAAUGUAUGUAAGGGAAGUAGGCAAGUCAGAUCCGUAACGUCAGGAUAAGGAUUGGCUCUAAGGGCUGGGUCGGUCGGGGCUGGGGUGCGAAGCGGGGCUGCGCUCGAGCCGUGGCUGGGGGAGCAGUUGCUCCGCCUCCCUUCUCUCGCCACUGCUGGAAGUUCGUUGUGCGGUCCAACUUGUGGGCUCUCGUUUGUGGCAGCGGCGACUCUGGACGCGUGCUGGGCCCUUCUCGCGGAUCUCCCCAGCUACGGUACUCGUUGGCCUCGUUUACGUGGGGUCUCUGGCGGGUUGCCUCGGCCUGACUUAGAACUGGUGCCGACCAGGGGAAUCCGACUGUUUAAAAUGAAAAGCCCCAGAAAAUAGUGAAGCGUGGGCAAGCGAACACAAUACUACACAAGAAAUGGGAACUAAAAACCUAAAUAAAAUCGGCAGACAACCAGAGAGCCACAACAUAAUAUAGCUACUAAAAUGCAUAUAUAGCGGGCAAGAAAUUUAUGAACAAAGGGGCCUUUGGACAGGACCCCAACACCCAAUUGUGGUGAGGAGCAAAAAGAAGUCUAAGGCCCAAGCUAUGGGGCCCGUGCAAGCAAUAAAAAUGUAUAUAUAGCGGGCAAGAAAUCUAUAAAUUAAUCAACACCUAAUAAAGGUGAUGAGUACAAAUGUGUUUACAAAGGGGCCUGUAGACAGGACCCCAACACCUAAUAAUGGUGACGAAUGCAGUGAGAACAAAUCAAAAACCUGGACAUGCCAAACCAGGCGCGACCUCGUGCGGACACCACAGGGAAAAAAGGUUGCGAAGUGAGCUAAGUAAUGCAGGAUGCACCUCCUGAUAGCCGAAAAAAGGUGCCGCUAGUGGGUUGGGUACCACUGGUGAAAUCUUCUUAUCUUGACCCAGUACAGCCUCAGAGGAAGGGCCACUCCAAGGAGCUGGGUCCUCCCAGGGUCCUCCCAGGGUUUCUCCGCUGGGCCCGACUAGUUUUUGCCACUGGCCGCCUUACAUCAUUUUCAAAC
ensembl:lncRNA